AAUACAUGCAAGUCGAGCGAAUGGAUUAAGAGCUUGCUCUUAUGAAGUUAGCGGCGGACGGGUGAGUAACACGUGGAUAACCUACCUAUAAGACUGGGAUAACUUCGGGAAACCGGAGCUAAUACCGGAUAAUAUUUUGAACCGCAUGGUUCAAAAGUGAAAGACGGUCUUGCUGUCACUUAUAGAUGGAUCCGCGCUGCAUUAGCUAAUUGGUAAGGUAACGGCUUACCAAGGCAACGAUGCAUAGCCGACCUGAGAGGGUGAUCGGCCACACUGGAACUGAGACACGGUCCAGACUCCUACGGGAGGCAGCAGUAGGGAAUCUUCCGCAAUGGGCGAAAGCCUGACGGAGCAACGCCGCGUGAGUGAUGAAGGUCUUCGGAUCGUAAAACUCUGUUAUUAGGGAAGAACAUAUGUGUAAGUAACUGUGCACAUCUUGACGGUACCUAAUCAGAAAGCCACGGCUAACUACGUGCCAGCAGCCGCGGUAAUACGUAGGUGGCAAGCGUUAUCCGGAAUUAUUGGGCGUAAAGCGCGCGUAGGCGGUUUUUUAAGUCUGAUGUGAAAGCCCACGGCUCAACCGUGGAGGGUCAUUGGAAACUGGAAAACUUGAGUGCAGAAGAGGAAAGUGGAAUUCCAUGUGUAGCGGUGAAAUGCGCAGAGAUAUGGAGGAACACCAGUGGCGAAGGCGACUUU
rnacentral:rRNA from 1 species